AUAGCGGCUGAGUUUUUCCUGUUGUUUUUCGUCAAUGCGACUGUCACCUGGGAUGGCAACAUCAAUGAUCCAAACCUUUUUCUUUUCCACAACUGUGAUGUCUGGUGUGUUGUGUUCCAGAACUUUGUCAGUCUGGAUUCGGAAGUCCCACAGUAUCUUUGCGUGCUCAUUUUCCAAUACUUUUGCAGCAGCUGAGGAUAUGAUCCAUGGUUUCGUCGGUUUCCUUGCACAGUCUGCAUUUUGGGUCAUCAGCUGAUUUUUCGAUCUUGGCCUGAAUUGCAUUUGUUCUGAUGGCUUGCUCCUAGGUAAGCUUCCUUGCACAGUCUGCAUUAUUAUUAUUAUUAUUAUUAUUAUUAUUAUUAUUAUUAUUAUUUAGAAGUGAUACAGUUUGACACCAAAUUGCCAUGGAUCUAUCCAAUUGAAUCCUGGGAGCUAUAGUCUGAUAAGACAC
rnacentral:lncRNA from 11 species